rnacentral:rRNA from 1 species
GGGCAUGGCGGCAGCUACACAUGCAAGUCGAACGGUAGCACAGAGAGCUUGCUCUCGGGUGACGAGUGGCGGACGGGUGAGUAAUGUCUGGGAAACUGCCUGAUGGAGGGGGAUAACUACUGGAAACGGUAGCUAAUACCGCAUAAUGUCGCAAGACCAAAGAGGGGGACCUUCGGGCCUCUUGCCAUCAGAUGUGCCCAGAUGGGAUUAGCUAGUAGGUGGGGUAACGGCUCACCUAGGCGACGAUCCCUAGCUGGUCUGAGAGGAUGACCAGCCACACUGGAACUGAGACACGGUCCACACUCCUACGGGAGGCAGCAGUGGGGAAUAUUGCACAAUGGGCGCAAGCCUGAUGCAGCCAUGCCGCGUGUAUGAAGAAGGCCUUCGGGUUGUAAAGUACUUUCAGCGGGGAGGAAGGUGUUGUGGUUAAUAACCACAGCAAUUGACGUUACCCGCAAAAGAAGCACCGGCUAACUCCGUGCCAGCAGCCGCGGUAAUACGGAGGGUGCAAGCGUUAAUCGGAAUUACUGGGCGUAAAGCGCACGCAGGCGGUCUGUCAAGUCUGAUGUGAAAUCCCCGGGCUCAACCUGGGAACUGCAUUCGAAACUGGCAGGCUAGAGUCUUGUAGAGGGGGGUAGAAUUCCAGGUGUAGCGGUGAAAUGCGUAGAGAUCUGGAGGAAUACCGGUGGCGAAGGCGGCCCCCUGGACAAAGACUGACGCUCAGGUGCGAAAGCGUGGGGAGCAAACAGGAUUAUAUACCCUGGUAGUCCACGCCGUAAACGAUGUCGAUUUGGAGGUUGUGCCCUUGAGGCGUGGCUUCCGGAGCUAACGCGUUAAAUCGACCGCCUGGGGGAGUACGGCCGGCAAGGUUAAAACUCAAAUGAAUUGACUGGGGGCCCGCACAAGCGGUGGAGCAUGUGGGUUUAAUUCUAUGCAACGCGGAGAACCAUACCUGGGUCUUGACAUCCACAGAACUUUCAUAAAUGGAUUGGUGUCCUUCGGGAACUGAUGAACAGGUGCUGCAAUGAUGUCGUCAGCUCGCUGCUGUGGAAAUGAUUGGAUUAAGUCCAGCAACGAACGACAACCCAUCAUCAUUGUGCAGUCGGGUUAAGGCGGGCAACUCAAGGAGAACUGACACGCAUCAACUCGGAGGAAGUGGAGGAGGACGGUCAAGUCAUCAUUGUCCUUACCGACUCGAGGGUCUA